rfam:Bacillus enclensis strain SGD-1123 genomic scaffold Scaffold1, whole genome shotgun sequence.
ACCGAAUACGUUAUUUAUAUUCGUAUAACUCCAAUAAUAUGGUUUGGAGGUCUCUACCAGGAACCAAAAAAUCCUGAUUACGAAGAAGAUACUUUUUCUU